UACAGCCAUAUCAUGUUGAAACACCAGUUCUUAUAUGAUCAUCAAAGUUAAGCAACAUUGAGCCUGAUCAGUACCUAGAUGGAUGACUGCUUGGGAAUAUCAGGUAGUGU